rfam:Danio rerio chromosome 4, GRCz11 reference primary assembly.
GCAUUGGUGGUUCAGUGGUAGAAUUCUUGCCUGCCACGCGGGAGACUCUGGUCCGAUUCCCGGCCAAGGCA